rnacentral:rRNA from 1 species
GUGUCAGCCGCCGCGGUAAUACGAAGGGGGCUAGCGUUGUUCGGAUUUACUGGGCGUAAAGCGCACGUAGGCGGUUUGUUAAGUCAGAGGUGAAAUCCCGGAGCUCAACUCCGGAACUGCCUUUGAUACUGGCAAGCUAGAGUCCGGAAGAGGUAAGUGGAACUCCUAGUGUAGAGGUGGAAUUCGUAGAUAUUAGGAAGAACACCAGUGGCGAAGGCGGCUUACUGGUCCGGAACUGACGCUGAGGUGCGAAAGCGUGGGGAGAAAACAGGAUUAGAUACCCUGGUAGUCCACGCCGUAAACUAUGAGAGCUAGCCGUUGGAUGGUUUACCAUUCAGUGGCGCAGCUAACGCAUUAAGCUCUCCGCCUGGGGAGUACGGUCGCAAGAUUAAAACUCAAAGGAAUUGACGG